GAUGAACGCUGGCGGCGUGCCUAAUACAUGCAAGUCGAGCGAACAGACGAGGAGCUUGCUCCUCAGACGUUAGCGGCGGACGGGUGAGUAACACGUGGAUAACCUACCUAUAAGACUGGGAUAACUUCGGGAAACCGGAGCUAAUACCGGAUAAUAUAUUGAACCGCAUGGUUCAAUAGUGAAAGACGGUUUUGCUGUCACUUAUAGAUGGAUCCGCGCCGCAUUAGCUAGUUGGUAAGGUAACGGCUUACCAAGGCAACGAUGCGUAGCCGACCUGAGAGGGGGACCGCCCAACCGGGACCGGGACACCGGUCAAGACUCCUACGGGAGGAGGAAGAAGGGAAUCUUCUGCAAUGGGGGAAGGCCUGACGGAGCAACGCGGGGUGAGUGAUGAAGGUCUUGGGUCCGUAAAAUUCUGUUAUAAGGGAAAAACAAAUGGGUAAGUAACUAUGCACGUCUUGACGGUACCUAAUCAGAAAGCCACGGCUAACUACGUG
rnacentral:rRNA from 1 species